rnacentral:lncRNA from 1 species
GCACUCCAGCCUGGGAGACAGAACGGGACUCCGUCUCAAAAAAAAAAAAAAUCUGCUGGGCGUGGUGGCUCACGCCUGUAAUCCCAACACUUUGGGAGGCCAAGGUGCGUGGAUUGCCUGAGCUUAGGAGUUUCCAACCAGCCUGGCCAACAUGGUGAAACUCUGUCUCUACUAAAAUACAAAAUAUUAACUGGGCAUGGUGGUGGGCGCCUGUGGUCCCAGCUACUCAGGAGGCUGAGGCAGGAGAAUUGCUUGAACCCGGGAUAUGGAGGUUGCAGUGAGCCAAGAUCGAGCCACUGCACUCCAGCCUGGGCAACAGAAUGAGACUCCGUCUCAAAAAAAAAAAAAAAAAAGGAUGUCCGUUCUCCCCAAGAUCUGCAGAUUCAAGGUGAUCCCAGUCAAAGUCCCAGCAGUUUGCUGUUCUUAAGCCAACAAGCUCCAAGGGCCAGCACGCACUUCCUGUCCUGCUGGCCGGACUGGGCCUGGUGACCCUGUCGCCGCAGGCCUUUUGCAGCACAGGCUCUGAGAGCAACGGUGCGGUUGCCUGACUGUCACGGAACAAACACACACCAGGCGAGCACUAGCCUGAGGCCGAGGGGCACAUGGAGCUGGCCUGAGCCCAGCCAGGAGUCUGGAAGCAAGCCCAGCUCCUCCCGGCCGUGCCCUCGAGGGCCUGACCGCGAAACGCUCGUACGCACGGGUUGGAGUUGUUUGCCACGCGUGGCAACUGCGGCAGGAACCUGACUCACGCACGGACGCCAGCACCCACAAGUGAGAGGCGCCUCAGACACGUGGUGUCGGCUUUGGAAGCAGCUGGUGGGUGGUGAGGAAAUGUCACAGCUCUGGAAAGACAGAGGCCUCUGUAAGGUGGUGUCAAAAUGCCAGGUUGAAUCAACAGUCAUCUGCGGGGACUCUGAAGGCAGGCAAUCCGCCCAGUGAACUGGCAGCACCGGGCAGGAGGGUCUGGAGGGAGAACCCUGGUGGCAUGGCUGGUGUGUGAGGAUCAAAGGCAGAGGAGAUCUUUCCUCUUCAGCAUGGUAAUUUGGCACUGGGCUAAGCCUCCAGCUGCCUCCCGCUGGUGACCUGGUAAAGGGGAACAUAAACUCCUUUGGUCGGCAACAUUGCUUACGGCAACACUGCCCUGUGGCAGGCAGACCACGUGGGGACUGGGGAGUCAUUGGUGUCUGGGAGGCCACGUCACUGGCCUUCCUGAGUGAUCCCCACACCUGGGAAUGUGCCCUGCGGGCCAUAGCCGCGGGAUUGCUGCAGGAGGAACUUCGCCUCCCGUGGGGCAAGAGGCAUCUCCGUGAGUGGGUCCCAGCCCCUGAAUCGCAGUGGGAAUCAGGGAGGCGGCAACACCUGCGUGCCGUCAUAAAGACCCCCACCAUGCCCUCGUAAAGACCCCCAUCACACCGUCCUGAAGACCCCCACAUACCCUCGUAAAGACCCCAUCACACCAUCCUAAAGACCCCCACACACACUCGUAAAGACCCCAUCACACCAUCCUGAAGACCCCACACACCCUCGUAAAGACCCCAUCACACCGUCCUAAAGACCCCCACACACCCUCGUAAAGACCCCAUCACACCGUCCUGAAGACCCCACACACACUCGUAAAGACCCCAUCACACCAUCCUGAAGACCCCACACACCCUCGUAAAGACCCCAUCACACCGUCCUGAAGACCCCACACACCCUCGUAAAGACCCCAUCACACCGUCCUGAAGACCCCACACACCCUCGUAAAGACCCCAUCACACCGUCCUGAAGACCCCACACACCCUCGUAAAGACCCCAUCACACCAUCCUGAAGACCCCACACACCCUCGUAAAGACCCCAUCACACCAUCCUGAAGACCCCACACACCCUCGUAAAGACCCCAUCACACCGUCCUAAAGACCCCCACACACCCUCGUAAAGACCCCAUCACACCAUCCUGAAGACCCCACACACACUCGUAAAGACCCCAUCACACCGUCCUAAAGACCCCCCCUAUUGCCGGGCGCGGUGGCUCACGCCUGUAAUCCCAGCACCUUGGGAGGCUGAGGCGGCGGAUCACGAGGUCAGGAGGUGGAGACCAUCCUGACUAACACGGUGAAACCCCAUCUCU